CUAGACUGAUAGAAACGUUUUGUCAACUUCAAAAUAUUCUGGAAAGAUUUCUCCAACAGUCGCUUCACAUCCCGAAUCCUUUGAAUAGUACUAACAACAUGGAGCACAUGAUAAACACCAACAGGAAAGAACUUCAGGAUGCCUUUCCAUAAUGACAUAGCUCAUUCCUGCUUGUAUCUCCAUCCCGUGGUGUUUGGGGACUUCCUCUGAGUUUCACCAAAAAAAGCUUGAGUCUACACAAGAAGAAUAACAUUGACUACAAUCAUCAAUAAAUGGAAAAAAAUAAAAAAAAUGAGAUCGUAGCAUCACAAUUUAUCCCAUCAAAGAUAAGGAACGUAUGCGUAAACAUCAUUUCCAUCAGUUGGACCACAAUGAUGUGGCCGAUGAAAAAAAGAACAACAUACUUUGGAGAAGUAAGCAAUUAGCAAUACUUCCCUUGUUUGUGUUUAGGAAUAGAGUUGAUGCUAAUAGAAGUAUGCUGAAAAGGGUUUAAGUGCCUAAACUACAGAAUAGAAAGAUCUAAUUUUUACUUGGGCAUUUUGCAAUAUCCGACUAGCAAAAUCAGCAAUCUGUGAUAGUUUGCAAUGAGGUCAAUUUCAACUUUACAAAUCCAAUGCUGCAUACAUGAGAACUGAGCUUAUCAAAUCAGAAACCUAAACAUUCGAAGGAUAUUAUCACACCAUAAACUAUUAGAAUGGAGGAGAUUGUCAUCAUGCAUACACGUAUUCUGUUUUCAAGUGAAAUUCCUCAGCACGUAUAGUAUAAG
rnacentral:lncRNA from 1 species